UGUUUGAUGUUCUAACGUUGGCCCGUAAUCCGGGUUGCGGACAGUGUCUGGUGGGUAGUUUGACUGGGGCGGUCUCCUCCUAAAGAGUAACGGAGGAGCACGAAGGUUGGCUAAUCCUGGUCGGACAUCAGGAGGUUAGUGCAAUGGCAUAAGCCAGCUUGACUGCGAGCGUGACGGCGCGAGCAGGUGCGAAAGCAGGUCAUAGUGAUCCGGUGGUUCUGAAUGGAAGGGCCAUCGCUCAACGGAUAAAAGGUACUCCGGGGAUAACAGGCUGAUACCGCCCAAGAGUUCAUAUCGACGGCGGUGUUUGGCACCUCGAUGUCGGCUCAUCACAUCCUGGGGCUGAAGUAGGUCCCAAGGGUAUGGCUGUUCGCCAUUUAAAGUGGUACGCGAGCUGGGUUUAGAACGUCGUGAGACAGUUCGGUCCCUAUCUGCCGUGGGCGCUGGAGAACUGAGGGGGGCUGCUCCUAGUACGAGAGGACCGGAGUGGACGCAUCACUGGUGUUCGGGUUGUCAUGCCAAUGGCACUGCCCGGUAGCUAAAUGCGGAAGAGAUAAGUGCUGAAAGCAUCUAAGCACGAAACUUGCC
rnacentral:rRNA from 1 species